UGAACUGUUCACACCCACCCAGCUGCCA
rnacentral:piRNA from 1 species